rfam:Clostridium spiroforme DSM 1552 Scfld_02_7 genomic scaffold, whole genome shotgun sequence.
CUAGUGGAAAAGAUGUGGAGAUGUCAGACAACUAGAGUGCUCAGAGCAGCAUCCUUAAAGAGUGCGUAACAGCUCACUAGUCGAAUGACUCUGCGCCGAUAAUUUACCGGGGCUAAGUAUAUUACCGAAGCUAUGGAUUUGCGAUGAGCAAGUGGUAGGGGAGCGUUCUAUGAGCGAAGAAGCAGUACCGGAAGGAGCUGUGGAGCAUAUAGAAGAGAGAAUGCCGGUGUGAGUAGCGGAACGUGGGUGAGAAUCCCACGCACCGAAAACCCAAGGUUUCCAGAGGAAGGUUCGUCCGCUCUGGGUAAGUCGGGACCUAAGGCGAGGCCGAGAGGCGUAGUCGAUGGACAACAGGUAGAGAUUCCUGUACUUACGGUAUGAAUGAAGGAGUGACGGAGAAGGCUAGGUGAUCCUGCGGCUGGAAGAGCAGGUGCAAGCGAGGUAGCAGAUAUCCAGGCAAAUCCGGAUGUCGAGAAAGCGAAGGCGUGAAGCGGAUGGAAAGCCAAGGCAAGUACAGAAGUCAUUGAAGCCAGCUUCCAAGAAAAGCUUCUAGUGAAAAUCAUACAGUAACCCGUACCGAAAAUGGACACACAUGGGUGAGGAGAGAAUCCUAAGGUGAGCGAGAGAACUAUAGCUAAGGAACUCUGCAAAAUGACUCCGUAACUUAGGGAGAAGGAGUGCUCAUAGAGAUAUGAGCCGCAGUGAAACGGCCCAAGCGACUGUUUACCAAAAACACAGCUCUAUGCUAAGUCGAAAGACGACGUAUAUGGGGUGACGCCUGCCCGGUGCUGGAAGGUUAAGAGGAUGUGUCAGCGCAAGCGAAGCACUGAAUUGAAGCCCCAGUAAACGGCGGCCGUAACUAUAACGGUCCUAAGGUAGCGAAAUUCCUUGUCAGGUAAGUUCUGACCCGCACGAAAGGCGUAACGAUUUGGGCGCUGUCUCAGCUGUAGACUCGGUGAAGUCUUAGUACCUGUGAAGAUGCAGGUUACCCGCGACUAGACGGAAAGACCCCAUGGAGCUUUACUGUAGCUUGAUAUUGGACUUUGAUGCAGGAUGUACAGGAUAGGUAGGAGACUGAGAGACAUGCACGCCAGUGUGUGAGGAGUCGCUGUUGGGAUACUACUCUUCCUGUAUUGGAGUUCUAACCGGAUGCCAUAAGCUGGCAACGGGACAGUGUCAGGUGGGCAGUUUGACUGGGGCGGUCGCCUCCCAAAGAGUAACGGAGGCGCCCAAAGAUACCCUCAGCUUGGAUGGAAAUCAAGCGCAGAGUGCAAAGGCAAAAGGGUGUUUGACUGCGAGACCAACAAGUCGAGCAGGGACGAAAGUCGGGCUUAGUGAUCCGGCGGUGCUGAAUGGAAAGGCCGUCGCUCAACGGAUAAAAGCUACCCUGGGGAUAACAGGCUGAUCUCCCCCAAGAGUUCACAUCGACGGGGAGGUUUGGCACCUCGAUGUCGGCUCAUCGCAUCCUGGAGCUGAAGUCGGUUCCAAGGGUUGGGCUGUUCGCCCAUUAAAGCGGUACGCGAGCUGGGUUCAGAACGUCGUGAGACAGUUCGGUCCCUAUCUGUCGUGGGCGUAGGAAGUUUGAGAAGAUCUGUCCUCAGUACGAGAGGACCGGGAUGGACAUAUCAAUGGUGCACCAGUUGUCACGCCAGUGGCACAGCUGGGUAGCUAAAUAUGGAAGGGAUAAACGCUGAAGGCAUCUAAGUGUGAAACCCACUUCAAGAUGAGACUUCCCAUUACGCAAGUAGGUAAGACCCCUUAAAGACGAUAAGGUUGAUAGGUCAGGAGUGUAAGCAUGGUGACAUGUUCAGCGGACUGAUACUAAUAGGUCGAGGACUUAACCUA